rnacentral:rRNA from 1 species
AUUGAACGCUGGCGGCAUGCUUUACACAUGCAAGUCGAACGGUAACUGGUUAAGCUGACGAGUGGCGAACGGGUGAGUAAUGCAUCGGAACGUGCCCGAUCGUGGGGGAUAACGCAGCGAAAGCUGCGCUAAUACCGCAUACGAUCUGAGGAUGAAAGCGGGGGACCGUAAGGCCUCGCGCGAUCGGAGCGGCCGGUGUCAGAUUAGGUAGUUGGUGGGGUAAAGGCCCACCAAGCCGACGAUCUGUAGCUGGUCUGAGAGGACGACCAGCCACACUGGGACUGAGACACGGCCCAGACUCCUACGGGAGGCAGCAGUGGGGAAUUUUGGACAAUGGGCGAAAGCCUGAUCCAGCAAUGCCGCGUGCAGGAAGAAGGCCUUCGGGUUGUAAACUGCUUUUGUACGGAGCGAAAAGGUCCUUUCUAAUACAAGGGGCUCAUGACGGUACCGUAAGAAUAAGCACCGGCUAACUACGUGCCAGCCGCCGCGGUAAAAC